GAGAGCCCGGCAGCAGAGAGGGAGCUCGUUACCGCAAAUGGGAGUUUUAUAACAUUGAAAAACAAAUACUCCACACGGGAGUGAAAUUACUGAAGUUCCUACAUGCUAGACCGUAAAAUCUGUCACUGUGGUUGAUGAACCCGAGUUUUGAAAAUGUAGCUAUGAGAUCUGCUGUCACAGGUGGGAAAAAAUAUUUAGCAAUUGCAACACCAGCCAGGGAGAAGUCCCGCCUCGUUGUAAGGCUUGGGAGAACUCCCUCCCCGCUGCGCACGCACCUCAGGAGCCGUCUUCCUUCCGGGACUUUGUUCCAAACAGCAAAUUUUAAGCACUAAAAUAAAAUCCCCCGAGUUGAAGGGCCCCGGGGCGCUGGUAGCCUGCAGGUGGAGCAGGGGCAAUGCCUUGGGGCAAAGCCCUGCGCCGAAGGGGCGCCCGCGUGCUUCCGUGCUCUCGGUUACAAAAGAGUUGCGAUUCCUCCUCCAGCUUCCCUAUCUCCCGGGCAAUCUGACAGCACCAAGCCUGGCUCGCGUUGCCUCAGCUCAGCACAAAUCUCAAAGCCGGAGGCAAGCGGCCUCCUCCCGGCCGAGCCCUUGAUGACAACGGCCAAAAACGUUCAGGAUGAAGCCCGGGGAGCGGCAGAGAGCCGGCUGGUGCAGGAGCGCCCAGAUCAGCAGCCGCAGCACAGGUCUCAGAGGGAGCAGCAGGGAGAGCAUCACGGUGGGGCCAGCACCGAGGGAUGACCAUGGCCAUGGCCAGGAUGACGACCACGACCAUGGCUGCCCCAUGGAGCCGAGCCCGCUGACUCAUCUGUGCCUGCCCGGAGAGACACAGCACCUCCUGCCUCCGCCCCGCCGCUCCCUGGGGUUUUCCUCUCCUCUUGCUCGAGCAGGAGCCAAGUUACCAAAAGUGCUCAUCACGUGGCCCUGAUAUUACAGACCCAGUUUCAUUUACUGUAAGUGCACAGGCUCAAAAAUACUCGUGUUUCCCGCAGAAGAGACGAGCUGCUGCCACGCUCCCUGGCCCCUCCGGUGCCACUGCGGGAGGUAAG